rnacentral:rRNA from 1 species
UACAGAGGGUGCAAGCGUUGUUCGGAUUCACUGGGCGUAAAGGGUGCGUAGGUGGUGAGGUAAGUCGGAUGUGAAAUCUCCGAGCUCAACUCGGAAAUGGCAUUGGAAACUACCUUGCUCGAGGGUUGGAGGGGGGACUGGAAUGCUUGGUGUAGCAGUGAAAUGCGUAGAUAUCAAGCGGAACACCAGUGGCGAAGGCGAGUCCCUGGACAACUCCUGACACUGAGGCACGAAAGCUAGGGGAGCAAACAGG